rnacentral:tRNA from 1 species
GAGGGUAUAGCUCAGUGGCAGAGUAUGUGCUUACCAUGCACCAGGUCCUGGGUUCAAUCCCCAGUAGCUCCA